rnacentral:rRNA from 1 species
GAUGAACGCUGGCGGCGUGCCUAAUACAUGCAAGUCGAACGAGUGGCGGACGGGUGAGUAAUGUAUGGGAAACUGCCCGAUGGAAGGGGAUAACUACUGGAAACGGUAGCUAAUACCGCAUACCAUCGGAUGUGCCCAGAUGGGAUUAGCUAGUAGGUGGGGUAACGUCUCACCUAGGCGACGAUCCCUAGCUGGUCUGAGAGGAUUACCAGCCACACGGGAACUGAGAAACGGUCCAGACUCCUACGGGAGGCAGCAGUGGGGAAUAUUGCACAAUGGGCGCAAGCCUGAUGCAGCCAUGCCGCGUGUAUGAAUAAGGCCUUCGGUUUGUAAAGUACUUUCAGCGGGGAGGCGUUACCCGCAGAAGAAGCACCGGCUAACUCCGUGCCAGCAGCCGCGGUAAUUC